rnacentral:lncRNA from 1 species
GUCGUAGUUAUUCACUUAUUCUUUUAAAAAAACCAAAAUUUACAAGUUUUUGCGAAAGGAAAAAAAUCAGAUCUCCUGCUAAAAGAUACUAAUAUUCAGUUGACGCUAUUGAAGCUUGUACCAAUGUCCUGAAGCUUGUACCAAGUGUAUACCAGGAAGCAUACCCAAUUUAGUUGUUUUUAAUGCAUAAGAAGCAGUAUUAAUAACUUUCUAGUCAAACCCAGUACGAAUUCAAAACCACAUUCGUUUUCCAACACUUGCUCCCACCAAGUCAAACCCAGUACGAAUUCUUGUCUGAUUACCUUUUCACGCCAGCAGCAACUCAAGUUCUUUGCAAAAACAGCUCAAGCUCAAGCAGCUCAAGUUACCAGCAGCAGCUCACAACAGCAGUCAGAUGGCAGCAGGGGAGCACCGUGACAGCAGCAACAGUUGAUAGUAGGUG